GCGGGGAGCAGGCCGGGCUCUCCCGGUGCGGUUAAACGAACGGUAACACGCACUGCUCGUCCGCCGCUCUGCUUCCUCUCGACAUCCUUUGGCUGUUUUCAUCGCUCGUGUUUAUUUCCGACUACCAUCAAGAGUAGUAGCUCGUGACAGCCUUAAGCAUCUCGGUAAAAAUAAGAUUUUUCUAGCCGAUACCAUACAAGGCAACACUCUACAUAAAAAGGCAAUGGCUAAACCGAGACAAAGUAACUUACAGACCCCAGAAGCCAAGCAGGAGCUGCAUUACAACCUGAAAAAGGGCCUGCACAUCUGAGGCCUGGCACGGAUCAAGAAAACGUACCCAUGAGGUGACAGAGUAGAGUUUUCUUGUUGGGUUUUGGCAAAGGGAAGAAAUAAAUAUUUUUUAAACAGUGACGUAACUUGGACUUCUCCCACUUGAGACAAAACUUGAGAACUUGCUGCGAAGUCUGGGGGAGAAAUUACAUGAAGGAGGAGGAUUCCACCUCUAAUAUCAGCCCUGGAAGGAAGUGAUAAUCCUGCCAGCAUUAGCAGCCUGGACAUCUGGAAAAACGUGACUCUUAAUAUCCAGAGCUGCCUUUGCUGUUCUGACCACAGCUUGCCACUCUGAUCCUCUGAUCUCUUGACAGUGGUUCUGAUCCCACUGCCAGCGAGAAACAGUGCCUGCUGCAUGUGAGGAUGGGGGAUAAAGAGACGGCUUGGUAGACUGUCAUUGGAAGAUCAUGAGAUGGGAUCUCCAUAUUUUAUGGUUAUCUAGAGAAUGAAUCUGAUCUCAAUUUAUCAGGAUUACUUAACCUCAGUGGCAUGAGUUUUCUCGUAGAUUUUAUUUUUUCUGGGUGUUUCCCUCCUUGGUUUCAAUGAGUGGACUGCCCCCUGGUGGACAAGAACUGUCAGCUCACAUGAAAGCAUGCUUUUGUUACUUCAGGCCACAGUCUGAAUUAUUUUUCUUCAGUUAAUAUGAAUUAUAUUCCAUGAACAAUAAGAAUUGAAUUCAUAAUAUGUCAAAUUCAAUAAAAAACAGAACUCUAAUA